rnacentral:lncRNA from 1 species
UCAUAUUGCAGCAGCAACUAUGAAAGGUACCCUUUUCUCUUCAAAUCCUCUACAGCAUCCUUAAUAAUCUUCUCCAUUGGAAUGAAUUGCAAACCCAAAUCCAUAAGUUUCUUUGAUCCAUCCUUCACUCUCAAUAAUCCUGGUUGGGUAUCUCGUUGCAUCCUUUCAAGCAAAAUCACAUAGUACAUCAUUUACAAGUAUGUUAUGUGUCAAAGUAUCACUAGAAGAAUUAUAUUAACCUUGUAUUUUGAUUAUGAAGACAAUAUACAAACAAGUCUAAAAGAACUAUUCAGAUUAACUAAUCACUUCUUCCUUGCCUGUUCAAGAACUAAUAGGAAAGCUGCACACUAACUACAACAUGUACUAUCUCUUGCAACAAAAGCCUAGUUCAUAAAUAAGCAUAAGAAACAACAACCUAAAGAUUAAUGGCAUACAAGAUAGAUACAUCAGUAAGAGCAUGACUGAAAAGUAAAAACCAACGUUGCAGUGCACAUGAACCAAAUUGUUGUGUUCAAAUAAGAGUAAGAAGUUUCUUCAAUAACACUCAUUCAAGCAAUAUAUCUAAUUCCUGAAUUACCGACCAAACGAUUAUUGCAUUGCAUUGACUAUACAUCUACUAGUGUGUGGCUAACUUACUUAGGCACAUUGUACUCUGGAUAAAGUUCAGCAACUUUGGCAACAAAAUCACCAUAGUGAGAGAUAGAUUCAACACACACAUGCCUACCAACUGCAGAUUUGUUCUCAUACACCAAAAUAUGCGCCAAUGCUACAUCCUUAAAGUGGACUGUUCCCAUAAAAAAGUUCUCAUAUGUAUCAUCACAACCUGCAACACAAAAUACAAAAUAUCACAAAUUCUCAGUAACUCCCCUAAAAAGUUAUAAAUUGGGUAGUUUGAUAUUAGUAUUCGGGUCAACAAUGAUUGUAGAUGGCAAAAUCUAAUGAAAGGAAUACAACAUAAUCAAACAAGCCUGAUACUUUUCAAGAAGUUAUCAAGUUCUAAAUGUCCUACUCAGCUAUACUAUCAACUACGCAGUAGCUGGUUUUGUAAAAUAAGCCUAAUAACUAUGUCACAGCAACUGUUGCGGCAUUUAUUUGCCAUUUUAAAACCUUGACCCCUAAAAUUCCUUUAUUCUUCUUAGUACAUUGCAAAUCCCUUUUCACACAGUUAAAAACCAAGCAAUCUACUUUUCUCUUGUGACUCAAAGAUACUUCAGUAACAAUGCCACUUCUCCAGUUCACAUUCCCAAUAUUCAGGGACACUCCUACUGCAAAAUUAGAAAGAAAUAUUUGCAAAAUCCAAUUGAUUAACCAGCAGUUUGUACCUUGAAGAAGGCGCACGAACAUGACCAUGCUUCCAUUAAGCCUCGGUGCAAUAACCGGACCCACCACAUUGCCAGGAUUCACUACUACAACAUCCAACCCAGUCUCCUUUGCAAAAUCCCAAGCUGCUUUCUCGGCCAAAGUCUUGGACAAUGGAUACCACAACUGUUGCACACACAAACACUUCACACACACAUAUAAGAAAAAGAAACAGAAACUGAAAAAAAAUGAAAACCCUUUCUAACCCCAUUUUGCUUGCAAAAUUCAACGUCAGUCCAGCAGUUCUCCGUCUUUGGAACAUCACCGGGCCAAUUGGGGCUCGGAGUAAUCGCGGAGACAGAGGACGUGACCACCACGCGACGAACUCCAGCUUCUUUCGCUGCCGUCAGCACGUUCAUGGUGCCCUUUAUCGCAGGGUCCAAAAGCUCCUUCUGCAUUAAGACCCAAAUGGGGUCAUGCAAAAACCCAAAAGAUUGAAAAUUUUCGAGGAGCUCGGGGGAACAAGACCUGGGGGUCCUGGACUUGUUCAACAGUGCAGGGAGAGGCGACAUGGAAUACGCCGGCGCAGCCGCACACGGCGGCGAGGACGGAGUCGUAGUGGAGGAGCUCCAUCUGGAAGAGGCGGAGGCGCUCCGACGCUCCAUCCAAGGCUUCUAGAUGCUUCGUCUCGCCCUCAUCGUCUGUUAGAAAAAGUUGUGUUGUGCUGUGUAAGUAUUGAGAUCAAAUGAAUGAAUAAUGAGAGUGUGGAUUGUAUUAACUGAGAUUUUGGACGGUGGCGUGAACGGUGUAGCCGCGGUCCAGAAGGAGGUGGACGAGCCAUGAACCGAUGGCGCCGCUGCCGCCGGUGACACACACCACCUUCUCCAUUUGGCAACUGUAUUCUAUCAACCUCCAGUUUUGUACUGUUCCAGUGUAAUCUGCUGAGGCAAAAAAUAAUUAUAAUUUGAAGUCAUAUCUGUACAAAAAAAUAUAUAUGAGUGGUGCAUAAUGAAUCUCAACACUCACAAAAAUCUCAUUAAAUUUUAUUAUUAUUAUAUUAUCAUCUUACAUGCACCAUAUCAGCAAAACCACAAAUUGCAUCACAUUUUGCAACAGAUGCAGGAAUUGAACCAGAAAUCAGAUGAUAGCAUAUACAAUGUUGUGAUGAAAAUUGGCAUGCUUAUUAUUAUUCAUUAAGCAAUAAUAUAUUAUAGAAGUAUUUUAAUCACUGGAUAUUGUUCUACUAGAUGUAAGAAACAGGUCAGUGACUUCUGUUGUUGAAAAAGUAGUAUAAUAGUUAUAAUAUAAUGUGAUUAAAAACCAUUUUUAUUGUUUUAAUAUACUGCUAAUACUACUAUAAUUAAUGUUAUAUUAAACGUUCAUAAUAUUAUUGUUACAACGUAAACCCACCCUUUAAUUGCAAUUUGUACUAUAUUAAAAUAUGAUGUCAACAUAUAUGUUAUUAUAUUAUUAAUGUUAUUAUCCUUUGGAUUUUUGUGUAUGUUUUUAUUUGGAUUUUCGUUUAUUCAAAAUUUUCAAGUAAAACAUUUAUUCAUUUGAGUGGAUUUUUUUAAAGGACUCAACUACGACCUGCUUCACGUGACAGAUGUUACACCUUAAGUACAUUACACCUUUAGCUCUCACAGUAUUCAAUUAACGCUUGAUUUAGCUUUCUGCAGUGUCUUUAUUCCUUAUCUUUCCUUUUGUCAUCAUUUUUAAUGUGCUUCUCUUACACUCUACUUCAUAAAGUUUAUAACCUACAACUUGCUUAAGCAACUUUCUUCUUACAUGGUUGUGCUCACACUUUACCUCAUUUGUCCUUCAUCGCAUCAGAAGUUCAGAUUGUUCACUUAUUUUUGUAAGACGUUAUUCAAAUUUUUGUUUCAAACUCUUGCAAUUUAAAUCGAUUGUUUUAUCCAAUGUUUUUUUUUUAUGGUUGUCUGUCCUUUUCAUAUCUUAUUUUCAACAAAAUGGCUUAUGAAGAACUUCUCCAUAUGUUGUUUGUUUUCACUUAUGGUUAUUGUUCUUUGUCUGCAUUCUAAUUUUUAAGUUUAAUUUUUAGUUAUCUUUAUAUUGGCAUUUCGGAUUAAAUGCAUCUUCAAUUAUUUUUGUAUGAUUUUUUUCCAUUGCUUACUUACUCUGUUUUCUAUUAAAAUUAAAACUUAUUACUUCUUUCAUGGUGGAUUUCAAGCUUUUGUGCUAAAGAAAUGACCUUUACAACUACAACAUCAGCUGUUUUCUAAAUACUUUUUGUUCUCGUUGUUUUUUUAAAAAAAUAUAAUACUAUUUAGGCAUGUAUUGUGCUCCGCUAGAUUUUAUUUAUGUGUUGUCUCAUAAAAGUCUUUCAUUUCACAGUAAAAUGUAUAGUGCAACUUAAAGAGAAAACCACUAUUUCGUUAUGUGUUCUUUUUCAUUAUAUUUUUCUCAAUUUUAUUCUAGUUGUUUUGUUUAACCUAUAUAUGCUUAUGUUGUUUUUAUGUUUUUCUUUUUUUUGUCAUAAGAUUUUGUAUUUAUGAACCUCUUAUUCAGAUUGUGUAACAUUUGAAUCUGGUUUGUUGCACACACUAACAUUGGCAGCUAAAACAAAGUUUUAUUGUUAGUUUAUAUUUACGAAUGUAUGUGUUCUUCUAUUUAUUUAUGUCCUUUCUUAUUUGACCUAUGUCUUUGACUAAUUGAUCAACACACCAAAUCUUCGCAACUACAAAAAUCUUUUAGUAUGCAAGAAUACAAUGUUGUUCCUUCUUCUUCACAAGUUUUAACAAAUUUGGUUUGCUUAUUUUGUUUUUAUGUAUUUUUGCUUUUUUUUUUAUAUGAUUAUGUAAUUAUGAACCUCUUAUGUUGUUGGAUGUCCAGAUUGUGUAACAUUUUAAUCUAAUUUGUUGCACACAAUUAGAUUGGCAGCUAAAGCAAAAUUUUAAUGUUAGUUUAUAUUUACGGAUUUCUGUGUUAUUCUAUUUAUUUAUGUCCUGUUUAUUUAACCUCUGGCUUUGAAGGAUUCAUCAACACACCAAAUAUUGGCAACUCCGUCAAGGAGAUACAUCCUAGAUUUUUUUUUUCUUCUUGUUUUCCAUGCUUGUAAUGCCCAACAUGAGUAUCUAAUUCUACCCUUUGAGAUUUGAGAUUUUCUCUUUAGUUGUUCCUCUACUCUAACACAAAGUUGAACUAAAUCAUUUAAAUCAUUAUAAGGAAAAAGUUCAACUUUAUCCUUAAUUUCAUAAUUAAGACCACUUUGGAAUCGAGCCCUAAUCCGUGCCCUUAACAUAAAUAACUCAAUUAUCUGCUUCUAUUGUUCUACAAUCAUGUUUAUAUGCGUUAACUUAUUGAGUUGUUUCAUCAACUCUCUAUCAUAUUAGGAAGGCUCAUACCUCUUCCUAAGAGCUGAUCUAAACUCAUUCCAAUACCUUAUUUAGGGAAAAUUAUGCAACCUAAGAUCUUUUGUAUAGGUGGUCCACCAAGUCAUGGUUGAAUCUUGAAAACUAAGGGUAGCUAAGGUAUCCCUCCUCUCAUGAUUUAUUUGGUGAGCCGAAAAAAAUUUCAACCUUCAUCUCCAAGGUUACGUAAUCUUCUAUAUUUGAUGAAAAAUGAAAAUAAGGAAGGUCAAUCUUAGGCUCUUUAGGCACAUGAUGGGCUCGAUGUCUAUGUUGUCUAGCAUUUUAUUGGUAGUAGUAUGUAUUGUGAUACCUACUAUAAUCAUAUUGGCUUUGGUAAGGGAUUGUAUGAUGAUUGCUUAUAUGUUUGUGAGAUCCCUCUCUUAGGAAAUCACAAAUUUAGAAAUUAUUUCUUUCAAUUCUGAAAAAUUCAUUUGCUUGUUUUGUUACUCUUUCAUAGACAUUAAAAGAAUCUUGAGUGUUUUGAUUACCAUGAACACUAGAUUGAUGUGAAGGAUCACCCAUUGUUGAAUUAAAAUAGAAAAAGUUUUCACAAAAAUUUACAAUUCAAUUGAGUGAUCAAAAUAUUUUUUGAAAAUAUUUUUUUAAUUUUUGGUGAAGUAAAUAGAUCAAGUAUGAGAGUUCUCCAAGUUCACUCCCACGAAAAGUGAGGUGAGUCACAAUGGACUACUUACAUACCAAGAGCUUAUCCCAAAUAAUUCUCAACAUAAGUUCCCUCAAAAUAAUUUUAGAAAUGAGAGUGGGUGUUUGAAUGUCGAAAUGAAACUAAAGAUCAAAGGAAGAUCUACUAAUAAGCAAAAAAAGAUAAAAAUCCUAUGUAUCACAGAUACUUAAAAGCAAGAAAAUAAAGGAAGGAAAUAAAGGAAGGAAAUAAAAGCAUGAAAUUAAAGCAAGAAAUUAAUGCUAGUGAAAAGUAAAUUAGCCGCAUCCUAAAGUUCAAGUGCAAUUGACACUAAGACUCCAGCAGCACACUUACACCACUAAUGCACAUGUAAUCUAAGAAUUUGAAGUAAAAUAAGUACAAAAGAAGAUGGACAACAAUAUAGAUAAAUAGUUAAGUGAAUCUCAAGAGAACAUUACAAAGAACUUACUUGAAAUGGACUUUAUUAAAAAUUUUAAUUUCAAGAAAUAUACUAAGUUAUGUUGGAGAUCCCACAUCGACUAGAGAUAAGGACAUUUCAUAAUAUAUAAAUGGGUGCAGACCUCAAUCUUAUGAGCCGGUUUUAUGGGGUUGAGUUAGCCUUAAAGUCCACUUCGCAAUAAGUUACUUUUAUACAUAUAGCUUAAUGAACAUAUCAAGGCAUAAGUAAGUAUAUUUGAUUAUUGUUAUAUAACAAAUUCAUUUGUAAUUCACAUUCCUAAAAGUAUUUACAAAAGAUUCGAAGUAAAGCAUGUCCUUAUCUCAAGAUGCACUACUUGUAAACAAAUAACCCAUCAUAUUCUACAUAUUCCUUUGACAAACUUGAUUACCCGAACUAGAAGUUGCUCAGUUGGAGAUCUCACAUCGACUAGGGAUUAGAGCCUUUUAUUGUAUAUAAAUGGAUGCAAACCUCAACCCUGUGAGCCGGUUUUAUGGGGUUGAGUUAGGCUUAAAGUCACAUCUCUAUCUUAGUGGAAAGUAUUGAAUAGAGUAUAAAUCAUAUACAUCUGUGUUAAAAUGAGUAUACAUCUAUAUUAAAAUGAGUGAUGUCAUUCAUACAUCUAAAGAAAUCAAUGUACAUUCUCAUUUCAUAAUAAAAAGAUAUGAAUGACAAUUACAACACAAAGACCCUACCUACCACGAGUUGGUCAUACUCUAAUCUACGCCCAUAAACUAUUUCCCGUGAGUUCUAGGCAUGGAGGCUUCUCAAUGUUUCAAGCUAUAAACAAAGACUGAGAAUUGUACACUCAAUCAUACAAUAAUAUAAAUAAAAACACAGGAAAAAUCAAUAUCCUCGCAUACAAUAACAUAAUCAAGAGGACAAAUUAUAAUAUACAUCAAAAAAUUAAUUUGGUGAAUUUAAAGACUCAACCAUACAUUCAAUCAAAUCAAAAUGUAUUUCACAAGUAUUAUUAUAGGAUAUGACAACCCAAACUAACAUCGUUUUCCUCCCUCAUCCAACGUCUACUUUCAUGACUUACUACUUAAAAGUACACCUUCAUUGAGAUUAUUUAAAAAAAAAACUUAAAUUGUUAUAUGAAGGUGCAUGGGGAAAAUAGAGAGUGGAGGAGAAUUUGCCAAACUAAUGCCCUUUUCUCUUUCCUUUUUUGUACGUAUGCAACACUUUAUAUUCUAAUUUUCAUGCACAUUUCAAUUCUUCACAAAUGACCUACAAACAAAUAGUGGUCCAUAUGCAUAAAACAAAAUGUAACUAGGGUUUCCAUUCGCAUGUAAACACCCCACGUUUUUCUUACUGUACCCAUAUAAAUUAUCCUUAUUAAUUUAUAAUAUUAUUAAUAAAUUGAAUUUUGAAAAAAUGAUUUUUCUCAUGAUUUAAAACUAAUUUGUUUAACAAUUUGAUACAUACAUUAUAUUAUAGUUAAUGAAAAUAAUAAUUAAUAACUAAAAUCUUAAUAACUAAUUAGAUACAAUUUAAAAAUUAUUUUAUAAUUUUUAUUAAUAAUAAAAACUAUUUAAAUACUAAUACUCAUUCAAUUAUAUCAAUUUCCUUCCAAAUCCUCCUCAUACAUAUAGUAAAGAAAUUGUUUUUCGUUUUCCAUGUUCUUUACACGUUUUCUAUUAAUUUCUUUGUGGACAAUAAGUUUAAGCAUUCCAUCUUCAUUUUGAAAAAAGAAACAAACAGGUGAGAGCUACUCAUACGCAAGUUCCUUUUUCAUACUAUUAGAGAAGUGUAGAUUAUGUCAUAGAAGAGCGUCUAAAGGUAACAGAGAUACAAAAAUGUGAAGACAACACAGAAACAUGACAGAAAUAGAGAUCCACCCAUGAACUAAAAUUAGGUAGAAAAUGUUUUACAAAGAUGUCUCUCGUCACUUGUUUUAGAACAAUGCAAACAUAACAACAACCACACCAACAAAUAUAACAGAUUAACAACAACAGGAAUUUGCACCAAACAUAUGUGCCAUAAGGACUCAUAUUGCAGCAGCAAUUAUGGAAGGAAUCCUUUUUUCUUCAAAUCCUCUACAGAAUCCUUAAUAAUCUCCUCAAUUGGAGUGAUUUGCAAACCCAAAUCCAUAAGUUUCUUUGAUCCAUCCUUCACUCUCAAUAAUCCUGGUUGGGUAUCUCGUUGCAUCCUUUCAAGCAAAAUCACAAAAUACAUCAUUCGCAACUAAGUUAUGCAUUAACAAUAGAUGUAUGAAGUGUGUGGGUAACUUACUUAGGCACAUUGUACUCUGGAUAAAGUUCACCAACUUUGGCCGCAAAAUCACCAAAGUGAGAGAUAGAUUCAACACACACAUGCCUACCAACUGCAGAUUUGUUCUCAUACACCAAAAUAUGUGCCAAUGUUACAUCCUUCAAGUGGACCGAUCCCAUAUAAAUGUCCUCGUAUGUUUCAUCAGAACCUGCGACGCGACAUACAAAUUUGUCUCAAAUUAUCAGUAAUUCCCCUAAAAAAAUCAUAACUUGGGGAGUUUGAUAUUAGUAUUCGAGUCAACAAUUAUACUGUGCAAAAUCUAAUGAAAAGAGUAUAGCACAAUCAAACAAGUCUAAUACUUUUCACGAAGGCAUCAAGUUCUAAAUAUCCUACACAGCUACACCAUCAACUACACUGUCGCAGGUCUUAGAAAACAUAUAAAAUAAUAAUAAAAUAAAAAUAUGAAUAAUAAAUUAAUAACAUAAUAAUAAUUAAAUAAUUAAAAUAAUAAUAAAUAAUAAACAAUAAUAAUGUUGGAGAUCUCACAUCGACUAAAGAUUAGAGUCUUUCAUUGUAUAUAAGUGGGUGCAAACCUUAAAUUUAUGAACUUGUGAGUCAUUUCAUUGUAUAUAAAUAAAUGAAAACCGAUUUUAUGGAGUUGACUUAGACUUAAAGUUUAUUUUGUAAUAAAUAAUAAAAAUAACUGAUAGUAAAAAUAUUAAAAUUAAAAUUAUAAACUAAUUAUAAUAUUAUAUUUUUUAUUUAAUUAAAUUAGUUUAUAAUAAUAUAAAUUAAUUAAUUAUUAUAUAUAUUAUUUUUAAAUUUUUUAAAAUUUAUUAUAUUUAUCAAAUUAGUAAUAAACUUAAUUCAAAAAACUUCAUUUUACUCAACUCCUCAAAUUCCCAGUAUCAAAUUUACUCUCCAUUUGAAAAAAACCCAACUUGAUACAAUGAGUUUAAAAAUAACUAUCUAAAAUAAAGAAUAAAUUUAUACUUAUAUAAUAUAAAAAAUAUAUAUUAAAAUAAUAAUAUUGAAAAUUGUAUAAAAAUACUGCAUUGUAUGAUUAUAUGAUUAACCCAAAAGAUAAAGCAUUCUCAAGCUUUUUGGGUAGUAGAAGAUUUCUUGAUACCAUAUUAUAAUAAUAUAAUAAUAUUUUAAAUUAAAAAUAAAUUAAAUAUAAUUAAAAUAUUAUUUUAAGGAUUUGUCAAGUGGAUUUUUUUAUUAUUGUAUGACCACCCAUUUUAGAACUUUUCCAGUUCACAUUUCCAAUAUUGAAGGAAACUCCUGCUGCAAAAAUAGAAAGAAAUAUUUGGAAAAUCCAACUGAUUAAGCAUUAGUGUCUCUACCUUGAAGAAGGCGCAAGAGCAUGAGCAUGCUUGCAUUAAGCCUGGGUGAAAUAAUCGGACCCAUCACAGUGCCAGGAUUCACUACAACAACAUCCAACCCACUCUCCUUUGCAAAUUCCCAAGCUGCUUUCUCCGCCAAAGUCUUCGACAAUGGAUACCACAACUGUUGCACACACAAACACUUCACACACCAACACAUAUAAGAAAAAGAAACAGAAAAUGAAAAAAAUGAAACCCUUUCUAACCCCUUUUUGCUUGCAAAAUUCAACGUCAGCCCAGCAGUCCUCCCUCUUUGGAACAUCACCGGGCCAACUGGGGCUCGGAAUAAUCGCCGAGACGGAGGACGUGACCACCACGCGACGCACUCCUGCUUCUUUCGCUGCCGUUAAUACGUUCACGGUACCCUUUAUCGCCGGGUCCAGAAGAUCCUUCUGCAUGAAGACUCAAAUGGGAUGAUGAAAAAACCCAAAAGAUUGAAAAUUUGUGAAGAGAUCGAGGAAACAAGACCUGGGGAUCCGAGACUUGAUCAACAAUGCAGGGAGAGGCGAGGUGGAAAACGCCGGCGCAGCCGCGCAUGGCAGCGAGUACGGAGUCAUAGUGGAGGAGCUCCAUCUGAAAGAGGCGGAGGCGCUCCGACGCUCCAUCCAAGUCUUGUAGAUGCUUUGUCUCGGCCUCAUCGUCUGUUAGAAAAGUUGUGUUGUGCUGUGUAAGUAUAUAUUGGGAUGAAACGAAUGAAUAAUAAAAGUUUGGAAUGUGCUAACUGAGAUUUUGGACGGUGGCGUGAACGGUGUAGCCGCGGUCCAGAAGGAGGUGCACGAGCCAUGAACCGAUGCCGCCGCUGCCGCCGGUGACACACACCACCUUCUCCAUUUUGCAGCUGUAUUCUAAGAUGCACUACUUGAAGAACUCCACUGUACUAAGAUAAUGAUGACACGUGUAAGAGAGGAAGAAACAAAGAAAACGAAAGACAGCCACAGAAAGAACAGAGAAAAAAUGAAAACGACGUUCAGAUAAAAGGCAAAAAAUGACCGAAGCAAACAGUUCCAAACAGCAAAAUAUUAGGUUUUAUUUUUUAGUGACUAAAUUAAUAUUGAAUUAUAAAUUUUUAAAGAAUACUUGUAUAAUGUAAUUGUCAUAUUUCUCUAUUAUGUAGAAUUGUAGUGAAAUGGAGGUUAAAUAAUGGUGCCCAACUUGCUAGCUGAAGGUUUUAAAAGGCAAGGAAAAAAUGAUAGCAAAUUAACCGUCAUGUACAAAAAAAGUGGUGGUCCCACAAUCACAAAAAUAGCAUAUAAAUUAAAUAAAAGAACUGACACGUAGAGUUUAGUGUAAUUUGAUGAUUUAUUUAUAAAUUAUUAUUUAUGGUUAUUUUACUGAUUUUUGUAAUAAGUAUUUGAUAUAGUUUAGGAGAGGAUAUGGUAUGCUUUAAUAAGAGGAUUUGAGCACACUUAAGCUUAAAUGAGUGUAUAUAAGCAACAAAAGAAAGAAAAAUAAAUCUAUACAAUUGUUGGAUCAUUCCAAGACUCAAUCAUAGAGGAACACAAACUCAUAGUAGAUAAUUUUUUCUUUUCAUUAAUUUAAUUUCCAACUCAUUGAGAUAAUUAUAAAAGCGUUUCUAUCCAUAACAUUAUGACAAAAUGUAGAGUACACCUUAUUUUCUUAAUAUAUAUAAUUUGACUUUUAUUAACCAAGUGGGCUUCUUCAAUGCCUAAAUCAUUUUAAUAUUUGGCUCCAUUAUUGUGUACCUGUUUCUCAUUUUCUGGUUCUUAUCUCAGACCAACUAAAGCCCACCACGUAUCGUUUCCCAAUUUUUACUUUAUGCAUAUGGACCCGCUUUUUGUUUGUUGCUAUUUUACUUUAUUCCUUUUCAUUUUAUUUUUAAUUCAAAAUAUUAUUAUAUUAUUAUAAGUGUUUGUUAAGUGUAUCUUAUUUACUGUUUUUUAUUGUUUAUGGUUUUAAAGAAACUUUUCUCUUUUGUCAUACAUUCACAUGGGGAGUGCUCAUUUGUUUGCAUGAAAAUUGAAAUACUAAGAGUUGCAGAUGUACAAGAAAGAAAGAGUAGCUCUAAACAAAGAAUAACUUUAUUUUUUAAAAUAAUUUCAGUAACAUUCUUAUAACUUUCUUUUAUUUACAGUACUUUCAUUCUUAUGUCGUAAAAUUAGAAAAAGUAGUUUUUUAUCAAUCAAUAUCGAACGGGUGAGUCAUUUAGUUUCGGAAAUCGAUCAACUGCGUUAAAAUACAUUUAAUACACUCAAUAAAUGACUAUUGUUACAAUUAUGAAAACUUCCGACAAAUCAAAGUCAUAUUCCAUCGAAUUUGGGUGACACCCCCAAGAAAAUAGCUAAUAUUGAUUUAUUGAAGAUAUUCUCCAAAUAUACAUCUCUAUAAUUCAAGGAAUCCCCUAAAAAGCCACUUAACACUGAUAUUUGAUAAAUGCGGUUCAUCACACAAAAUGACUCAUGACUAAACAUUAUAAAUAAAUAUUUUACAAAAGAGGAAUGUAUGUUUUUUAUCAGUUUCACUAUACACUCUUAACACAAGGUACUCACUUGAUCGUCGAAAAAUCUUUUGCAAGUUAACUCCUAAUCGACUAUUGAGAAAUUGAGGAUAGGGAGUCUUGAAGUUUGAAGGAGUGAAGUACUAAGGAGCAAGGGAGGGACCGACAACCAAAACAAUUGUUACAGUCAAUCCCAUGUACUAUUUAUGCUCACUUUGUCAAUACAAGUACAAGUUCCAUCAUUUCAACGUGUGUAAGAGGCUUGACGAGAAGAUUUGUUGUAUUCGACAUUCCCCAAUGCGAAGAUAAUUUUUUUUUUUUAGUUUUAUACUUCAUUUUUGCACAUCAUUUUUUUAUGAAUUUUGUGGCUUCCAAAAAAAGAAAAAAAAUAAAUGAAUAAAAACACAGUCACCAUGAGCAAUCACCAUCACUUGAAAAUGAAGAAGACACAACACUCUCCAUCAAAUAUUGUUGGAAUUAAAAAAGAGUAUGGAAGUGGAGAAUGAAGGUACGGAGAUGCAAGGAGAAUUUGCCAUCAAUUUUGUGCAUAUGGGAUUACUUUUUGCAUCACAUUUUGGUAUCACCCUUCCUUCAUAGGUGUUUCUUUCUGCACCUCUACAUUUUUCUUCUUGCACCUCUACAUUUUUCUUCUUGCACCCCUACAUUCAUGUGUAAUUACAAAGUAUCUCUAAGACAUCUAAAAAAACCCAAAAGGAGCAUAUCUCACUCUUUCUUUCUUCCUUUUCUACAAUUGUUGUGCACCUUGUUCAAGGAGCGAACAAAGGACAAUAAGUGGUAAUGCAUUGGGAUGUUGUUGGUGGUUCAUUUUCUGAAAUCUUGAUGGUGGUUAGAUGAUUUCUAAGAUGACUCUGUAUUAAGAAAAGAAGAUAAGUAAUAUUAUUUUUUGUUUACACUGUAUUGAGAAAAGAAGAUAAGUAAUAUUAUUUUUUGGUUACAUAUUGGAUGUUUAAUUUUUUAACUAAUUUUGAAUUCCGUAAUGCAACUUUUAGGAUUUCAGAGACAAGUGAGUCCGUAAUAGAGCACAUUGAUCCAAGAAUUAACUAGAUUGGUGUAUUUGUGUGGUUAUUUACACUUUAUAAACAUGGUUGUAAUUCCUAGCUGUAAUGGCAAAUAGAAAACUCUUGUAGCAGCCAAAUGGAUCCAGACUUUUUUUGUAAAAAACGUGGUGCCCCACUUGCAGCAAACAGAAAAUAACGAGUAAAUAAAAAAAUAGGGUUUGCAGGAAAUAUAGAAAACAAUGAGGAAAGAAAAGAAUGGCAUGUGAAGGCACUGUAAGGAAGGGUGAUGCCACAUCGUGAUCAGAAUGAGUGGUUGUGAUGGAUGAAUGAAUAAUUAAGAUUCCUUCACAUUCUAAACAGUAUCUCACUUUCAUUCUCUAACCAUUUAUAGUAAUAUCCCCACGUAUUCUUUCUUCUUUUAUAACAAAAACAAAAACAACCACCCCUUUUCUCUUUUCUUUUUUAAUUUACUACUUUUAAUAUUAUUAUUUUAAUAUUUUUUUAUAUCAUUUAAUUAUAAAUCAUUCUUUUAUUCUGCUCUCCAUGUGAAUGUUUGAAGAGUAAAUCAUCUAGGUGUCAAAAAGAACAUUGACAUAUUGGUUUAUAAUUAAAAAUUCUUGAUUCUACAUAUUUUUAACUUUGAGUAGGAAGUUGAUGUUAUAUUAUUAUGUUUAUAUUUAUUAGUUCAAAUUUAAUUGAAUUGAAUAACUGAUUUUUUUCUUUAAUUUAUAAUAGAAUUAAACAAUUAUUAAAAUAAUUCAUAUUUAUUAAAACUAACCACACCAACAAAAGUUUAACGAUACAUAUGAUAGUGCCUCAUUUUAGAACUAAGAGGAAUUUGCAGCAAACAUGUGGCUUUUAGGACUCGUAUUGCAGCAGCAAUUAUGCAAGGAAUCCUUUUUUCUUCAAAUCUUCUACAGCAUCCUUAAUAAUCUCUUCAAUUGGAGUGAAUUGCAAACCCAAAUCCAUAAGUUUCGUUGAUGCAUCCUUCACUCUCAGUAAUCCUGGUUGGGUAUCUCGUUGCAUCCUUUCAAGCAAAAUCACAAACUACAUCAUUUACAAGUACGUUAUGCAUUAACAAUACAUGUAUGAAGUGUGUGGGUAACUUACUUAGGCACAUUGUACUCUGGAUAAAGUUCACCAACUUGGGCUGCAAAAUCACCAAAGUGAGAGAUAGCUUCAGCACACAGAUGCCUACCAACUGCAGAUUUGUUCUCAUACACCAAGAUAUGUGCCAAUGCUACAUCCUUAAAGUGGACCGAUCCCAUAAAAAUGUUCUCAUAUGUUUCAUCAGAACCUGCCACGCCACAUACAAAAGGUCACAAAUUCUCAGUAAUUCCCCUAAAACAUCAUAAAUUGGGUAGUUUCAUGUUAAUAUUCCGGUCAACGAUUAUAGAUUAUAUGGUAAAAAAUUUAAUAAAAAAAAAGUGUAGUGAUUUUCACGAAUUAUAAAUGUCCUACGCAUCUAUACCAUCGACCAAGUUGUAGCAGGUCUUGUGAAAUUAGUCUAAUAGUUAGGUAACAACAACAGUAGCCCUAUUCACAUUAUACCAUUUUAAUCAGUUAAAAAUGUAUGCAUCAUUCAUCACAAGAUCCCUAACAUGGUGUUAAAUAGUGGUAUGCGACUAUGACUUUAGUGGUUCCGUCCACAGAUUUGGACGGAUGAAUACAAACAGAAAGCAUGAAAAUCAAAAGUAAAAAAUUGUUAGAUUCUUUCCUCGCAUAGCUGUGAGGAGUAGCAAAGAAAGUUGAAUAAACAUUAUAAUCAUAUAUUUACAAUAAAAUAUAUAUUCUAUAACGGAUCAUUACAUAGUCUGAUGACAUAUAUUUAUCAAAUAAUCCAUUUUUUUAAUAAUAUAAUUGAUUAUGGAAUAUACAUGUUAUUAUAUUUUUAUAUAAUUAUUAUAUUAUAUAUAUACACUAAAAAAAAUAUAAAUAUAGUAAAAAAAAUAAUUAGUUGUUAUAAUAACUAAAUUAGAAAUUAUUUUAAAAACUAAAAAAAAUAAUUUUUAAAUUAGUUUAUAUUAUUAUUAAAUAGUUUUGUAAUUUGUAUUUAAUUAGCUACCAAGGUUUUAACUCCCAAUUAUUUAAUUUCUAAAUUUGGUCGUAAAAAUUUUGGUUGCUAAUUAAAUACUAAUUUAAAAAUUAUUUAAUGAUAAUACAAACUAAUUUAGAAACUAAAGUUUUUUUUUCUCUAAAAUGAUUUAUAAUUUAGUUACUAUAUCAACUAAAUAUUUUUUAUUCUCUAAACAUAGUUUUCUAUUUGAUGUUUUUUUUUAGUGAUAUUAUUAAUUGAUUAAUAUUUGUAUUUUUAUUCUAAACAUAAUUAAUUAUACAAUAUAAUACAAUGUAAUAAUAAUAAGUAGUCAAACAAUAAAGAAAUAUAAAAUAAUAAUAAUAAAAUAGUCUCUACCUUGAAGAAGGUGCAAAAGCAUGAGCAUGCUUGCAUUAAGCCUCGGUGCAAUAACCGGACCCAACACCAUCCCAGGAUUCACUACAACAACAUCCCACUCACUCUCCUUUGCCAAAUCCCACGCUGCUUUCUCGGCCAAUGUCUUCGACAAUGGAUACCACAACUGUUGCACACACAAACACUUCACACCCCAACACAUAACAAAAACAAACACAAAAUUCAAAAAAUGAAAACCCUUUCUAACCGCUUUUUCCUUGCAAAAUUCAACGUCAGUCCAGCACUCCUCCUUCUUUGGAACAUCACCGGGCCAAUUGGGGCUCGGAACAAUCGCGGUGAUGGAGGACGUCACCACCACGCGACGCACUCCAGCUUCUUUCGCUGCCGUUAGCACGUUCACGGUGCCCUUUACCGCCGGGUCCAGAAGAUCCUUCUGCAUGAAGACCCAAAUGGGAUGAUGCAAAAACCCUAAAGAUUGAAAAUUUGCAAGAAGAUCGAGAGAACAAAACCUGGGGGUCCUGGACUUCAUCAACAAUGCAGGGAGAGGCGAUGUGGAAUACGCCGGCGCAGCCGCGCAUGGCUUCGAGUACGGAGUCGUAGUGGAGGAGCUCCAUCUGGAAGAGGCGGAGGCGCUCCGACGCUCCAUCCAAGGCUUUUAGAUGCUUUGUCUCGGCCUCAUCGUCUGUUAGAAAAGUUGUGUUGUGCUGUGUAAGUAUAUAUUGGGAUGAAACGAAUGAAUAAUGAGAGUGUGGAAUGUACUAACUGAGAUUUCGGACGGUGGCGUGAACGGUGUAGCCGCGGUCCAGAAGGAGGUGGACGAGCCAGGAAGCGAUGGCGCCGCUGCCGCCGGUGACACACACCACCUUCUCCAUUUUGCAACUUAAUUCUAACACGAAAACGAUCACUAGAGACUUGAGAAGUCCACUUUGAAAUCAAGAGAAGAAGAAAGAAACAAGUGUAAUGAUGUGACGAACAUACACAUUUUUAUAGAAUAAUAUCACUUCAAUACUAUUAUUUUAAACAUCUAUACAUCCGUAUUUUAUUAUUUUAUUCAAUUUUUAUGUUAAAUUUCAUAAAAAAUUAACAUUAAAUAUAUAAAAAAUAUUACUUAAAAAAUAUUUAUUUUCUUUUUCAAUUUGAGUUUUUUUUUUUUUGAAGUUUUUACUCUUCUUCCAUUGAUAGUUUUGGAAUGAGAGAGUAUAAUGAUGAUAAUGAUUUUAUAAAAAAAUAUAAUUGUUUCUAAUGAGGAAUUGAAAAUAAAUGUUAUUUUAUUUGUUAAAUUUUAUGUAAAAACUUGAUCGUAUGUUUUAUUUUUUUCUUUUGUCUUAAAAUUAAGAAAAGAGUAGGAGAUGUGCAUAUGCAAUAAUAUUAAAAUAAAAAAUAGUUUUAAUUUUUAAUUAAUUUAUAUAAAAUAAUAAAAUAUUUAAUUAUAUUAAUAAAAUGAGAUAUAUUAAAUAAAGAUAAAAUAAAUUAUACACUAAAAAUCGAUUAUAAUAAAAAAAUUAUAUAUAGAUAUAAAUAUUUUUUUAUAUUAUUUAAUUUCAAAGUUAGUCUUUAUUAUAUAUAUUUAAUUGUCAAACUGUAUUAAAAAAAAAAGACAGGGACAGUAGAAUUAAUUUGACAGAAAACGAAAGACAUGGAAAAUUUGACAACAAAAAUAUCGAAAUCAGCAAUGCAGAAUUAAUUAUAGGAAAGUUGGUGAGUACGAAAACCAAUCCAAUUUUUUAAAGGAUCCGGAUUUUUGACAACGUACGCAUCGUAUAACUCUGAAAAAAUCUUAAUAUUUUAAUAGUGUGUGAUCUUCUGUCAUAUUGGAAUCUUUUUCUUAUCUUUUUUGUAGUUUUCAUAUUUUGAGGUUUCUUUCUUUUUUUUAAGCUUCACUAUGUAUUUGCAAAUUUUUCUUUGUGCACUGAAACAUUUAUUUUUUCUUCUGUAUUGUUUUUAUUUGAUCUCGGUUUUAUUUAUUGUUAUCGUUAUUCAUAAUAAUAUUAUUUUUAUUAAUACUAUUAUUAAAAUUAAUAAUAAUACUAAUACUAAUAUUAAUAAUAAUUUAAAUAAUAAAAAUAAUUUUAAUAUUACUACUAAUUAUAAUAAUAUUAUUAUUAUUAGUAAUAAUAUUAGUAUUAGUAGUAAUUAUAAUAAUAAUAAUUAUUAUUAUUAUAAUAAUAUUUUUUAACUAGUGUUAUUUAUUUAUCUUUAUAUUCUUACAAUUCCGAUUUAAUUUAGUCAAAUAUAUUCUUAAAGAAAAAAAAUAUUUAUUGUCAAACAUAAUUUUGAAUUGGAUUUUUUGACAUCAUUGUUAUAAUUUUAUUCAAAAUGAUUUUUUUUAUGUUUAAAUUUCAUAUUGUGAUUAAAUUUAGUAUGAAAGAUUUUAUUUAUUGAAGUACUGAGCAAUUGGACUCGAGUAUGAUUGAGGUUAAUCCGUUGGUCAUUUAAAAAAAUGGUUUAGGAAGUGGUGACCUAGUCUAACGGUUAGAGAGGAUGAUGAAUAAGGUGAAUUGAGUUUGUUUAUAACACAUUAAAUUUAUUAUUCACAUGAAAUUUAUUUUUCACAUGAAAAAUGAAAUCUAUUACUUUAAACAUGAUUGUUAAUAUGGAUAACAAAGACCUACUAACUAAUAAAAUUGUCUUAAAUCAUAAAUUAAAAUUAUUCUACACAACUACAAGUUGGAUUGAUUCGUUAUAAUAAUUGUACACGGAUAACAGUAACAUUAGAGAAAUUCAGCUUGUACGAGACUGUUUUCUCAAUGCCUUGUUUGAGAUUUUAUAUUUUGUUUGACUGUGUGGCUUUGUCGGUAUGGUAGACGUUCCUUGGUAGAAAGAGGAUAAAGUACAAAUUUGUAUAAGGGUUAGACCACUAUGUAGUGGUUCAUAUUUAUUAUUUUUUAUUGAUAAUAAAAAAACAAUUUUAUUAUCAUUUUAUUUUAUUUAUUUUGAUGGAUGUAUUACAAUAGUAUAAUAAAUUAUUAUAGAAUCAUAAUUUUGUAUUAGUUUUUUUUUACGUUCAAGUUAUAUUUAGUAUGUAUUUUUUUAAAAUAAAAUCAUAUUUAUAGAUUUUUGAACUUAUUGAAAUAUCGAAUAAAAUUAUUUGAAAAAUCUAUUAUUGAAUAUUAUAGAUCAUUCCAAGACUCAAUCAUAGAGGAACACAAACUCAUAGUACCAAAGGAUAACUUUUUUUUCAUUAAUUUAAUUUCCAACUCAUUGAGAUAAUUAUAAAAGCAUUUCUAUCCAUAACAUUAUGACAAAAUGUAAAGUACACUUUAUUUUCUUAAUAUAUAUAAUUUGACUUUGAUUAACCAAGUGGGCUUGCUGAUAAAAAAAAAACCAAGUGGGCUUCUUCAAUACCUGCAUCAUUUUAAUAUUUGGUAACAUUGUUUAUGGUUUCCCAAUUUUUACUUUAUGCAUAUGGACCCACUUUUUGUUUGUUGCUAUUUUACUUUAUUCAUUUUCAUUUUAUUUUUAAUUCAAAAUAUUAUUAUAUUAUUAUAAGUGUAUCUUAUUUACUGUUGUUUAUUGUUUAUGGUUUUAAAGUAACUUUUCUCUUUUGUCAUACAUUCACAUGGGGAGCGCUUAUUUGUUUGCAUGAAAAUUGGAAAUAAGGAGUUGAAGACGUACAAGAAAGAAAGAGUAACUCUAAAUAAAAGAAUAACUUCACUUUUUAAAAUAAUUAGUACGUUGAACCGUGGAACGCACGGGAAUUUUUUCAAUAUUUUAUAUGUAAAUAUUAAUAUUAAAAUUAAUAAUUUAAUUUAUUUAUAUAUAAUUUCAGUUAUACUUCCGUAUUUUUAUAUCUUUCUUAUAUAUUUUUAGUUGUAAUAUUUGAAAAAGUAGUUUUUGGAUCGAUCAAUACCAAAUGAGUGAGUUAUUUCACUUUGAAAAUUUAUCAACCACAUUAAAAUACAUUUAAGACACUCAAUAAAUGAGUUGCAACAAUUAUGAAAACUACCUACAAAUCAAAGUCAUAUCCCAUCUCGGUGAUACUCCGGGAAAAUAAUUAAUAUUAAUUUAUUGAAUAUAUUAUCUAAAUAUACAUAUCUAUAAAUCAGGGAAUCUCCUUAAAAAAUCACUUAACACUGAUAUUUGAUAAAUUCGACCCAUAACAAGAAAUGACUCAUGAGUAAACCCUUUACAAAGAAGGAAGAUACGCUUUUGAUCAAUUUCACUAUACACUCUUAACACAAGGUACUUACUUGAUCGUUGAAAAACCUUUUGCAAGUUAACUCCUAAUCGACUAUUGAGAAAUUGAGGAGAAGGAGUCUUGAAGUUUAAAUGAGUGAAGUACUGAGGAGCAAGGGAGGGACCGACAACCAAAACAAUUGUUACAGUCAAUCUCAUGUUAUAUCUAGUCUCACUUUGUCUAUACAAGUACAAGUACCAUAAUUUCAUCGUGUGUAAGAGGCUUGACGAGAAGAUUUGUUGUAUUUGACAUUCUCUAGUGGAAAGACAAUUUUUUUAGUUUUGUACUUCAUUUUUACACAUUGUUUUUUUGUGGUUUCCAAAAAAAAAAAAAACAAAACAAAAACAGAGUCACCACCGAACAAUCAUCAUCACUUGAAAAUGAAGAAGAUACAACACUCUCCAUCAAGUAUUGUUGGAAUUAAAAAAGAGUAUGUAAGUGGAGGAUGAAGAUAUGGAGGUGCAAAGAGAAUUCGCCAUCAAUUUUGUGCAUAUGGGACUACUUUUUUCAUCACAUUUUGGUAUCACCCUUCCUUCAUGGGUGUUUCUUUCUGCACCUUUAUAUUUUUCUUCCUGCACCCCAACAUUCAUGUGCAAUUACAAAAGUAUCUCUAAGACAUCUAAAAAACCCAAAAGGAGCAUAUCUCACUCUUUCUUUCUUCCUUUUCUACAAUUGUUGUAAAAAACGUGGUGGCCCACUUGCAGCAAACAGCAAAUAAUGGGCAAAGAAAACACGAUGACCCCACUUGCAGCAAACAGAAAAUAAUGAGUAAAUAAAAAAAUAGGGUUUGCAGGAAAUAUAGAAAAGAAUGAGGAAAGAAAAGAAUGGCAUGUGAAGGCAUUGUAAGGAAGGGUGAUGCCACAACGUUAUGAGAAUGAGUGGUUGUGAUGGAUGAAUGAAUAAUUAAGAUUCUUUCACAUUCUAAACAGUAUCUCACUUUCAUUCUCUAACCAUUUAUAGUAACAUCCCCACUUAUUCUUUCUUCUUUUAUAACAAAAAACAUAAACAACCACCCCUUUUUUCUUUCCUUUCUUUUAUUUACUACUUUUUUUAUAUCAUUUAAUUAUAAAUCUUUCUUUUGUUCUGAUCCCCAUGUGAAUGUCUGAAGAGGAAAUCAUUUAGGUGUCAAUAAGAACAUUGACAUAUUGGUUUAUAAUUAAAAAUUCUUGAUUUUGCAGACUUUAACUUUGAGUAGAAAGUUGAUAUUAUAUUAUUAUGUUUAUCUAUUUAUUAACUCAAAUUUAUUGAAUUGAAGAACUGAUUUUCUGCUUUGAUUUGUAAUAGAAUUAAACAAUUUUUAAAAUAAUUCAUAUUUAUUUAUUCCUUCAUACUAAUAAUAAAACUAACCACACCAACAAAAGUUUAACAACACAUAUGAUCGUGCCUUAUUUUACAACAACAGGAAUUUGCACCAAACAUAUGUGCCAUAAGGACUCAUAUUGCAGCAGCAAUUAUGGAAGGAAUCCUUUUUUCUUCAAAUCCUCUACAGAAUCCUUAAUAAUCUCCUCAAUUGGAGUGAUUUGCAAACCCAAAUCCAUAAGUUUCUUUGAUCCAUCCUUCACUCUCAAUAAUCCUGGUUGGGUAUCUCGUUGCAUCCUUUCAAGCAAAAUCACAAAGCACAUCAUUUACAAGUAAGUUAUGCAUUAACAAUACAUGUAUCAAGUGUGUGGCUAACUUACUUAGGCACUUUGUACUCUGGAUAAAGUUCACCAACUUUGGCUGCAAAAUCACCAUAGUGAGAGAUAGCUUCAACACACACAUGCCUACCAGCUGCAGAUUUGUUCUCAUACACCAAAAUAUGUGCCAAUGCUACAUCCUUAAAGUGAACCGAUCCCAUAAAAAUGUCCUCAUAUGUAUCAUCACAACCUGAGACGCAAC